rnacentral:rRNA from 1 species
CCUACGGGGUGCUGCAGUGGGGAAUAUUGGACAAUGGGCGAAAGCCUGAUCCAGCCAUGCCGCGUGUGUGAAGAAGGCCUUCGGGUUGUAAAGCACUUUCAGUGGGGAAGAAAGCCUUGGGGCUAAUACCCUCGAGGAAGGACAUCACCCACAGAAGAAGCACCGGCUAACUCCGUGCCAGCAGCCGCGGUAAUACGGAGGGUGCGAGCGUUAAUCGGAAUUACUGGGCGUAAAGCGCGCGUAGGCGGUCUGAUAAGCCGGUUGUGAAAGCCCCGGGCUCAACCUGGGAACGGCAUCCGGAACUGUCAGGCUAGAGUGCAGGAGAGGAAGGUAGAAUUCCCGGUGUAGCGGUGAAAUGCGUAGAGAUCGGGAGGAAUACCAGUGGCGAAGGCGGCCUUCUGGACUGACACUGACGCUGAGGUGCGAAAGCGUGGGUAGCAAACAGGAUUAGAUACCUAGUAGUC